rnacentral:lncRNA from 1 species
AACACAUGCUUUGAACUCCUGGUUUAAGACUACACUAUGUGCUGCAGCUAGGUUAUAUAUUUCCCCCCAGGUAGGGUUAGCAGUAAGAGUUGGUUGCAUUUGUUUCCCUGUGUUAGAAAGCAAACUGAGAGCUCUGGAAGAACCAUGUUUUGAGAGAUUACCAUCUGGUGCAGAUGAUGUCCUCUCUUAUUAACAAUUUCUGUCUAUGGUGCUUUUUGAAGGCUGCUAAGUCCACCAUCGAGAUUGCUAAAUGUUCCAGAUUGGGUGCCUUGGCCUCUGGAUUGUUUGUGACAACCAAAUUGUAAAGGCUCAUGCAGAAGAAGAGGCCAUCAUUAGGUGAAAUUCUGAAGACUGCAUUUCUUAUUGUCACAUUAUGAUGAUUUCCUUGGGACUGCUUACAGAAAGAAAUGGACUGAUGCUGGCAGCUGUAUUUGUGAGAUUAUCAACAUUUUAUUUGGUUUGGAAAAAUAGAAUUUAUUUCAGCUUCCAAAAACUGUAAAUUCCCUGAACCGCAGAGCUUUUUUUUCUGUCAUAGUACUGUGUAUAUAACUAGAUAAUUUAUGUAGAAAGAACAGGUUCAUGUAAUUACAAAUAAGACUUGCUGAAUAUAGUGUUUCAUUUAUUUGAAUAAAAAAAUGCAUUGCUUCUGAUAUGUGUAUUUA